rnacentral:rRNA from 1 species
GGGAAGAGCUCAAAUUUGUAAUCUGGCGUCUUUCACGCGUCCGAGUUGUAAUCUAUAGAAGUGUUUUCUAUGUCGGACCGUGUCUAAGUCCCUUGGAAUAGGGUAUCAAAGAGGGUGACAAUCCCGUGCUUGACAUGACUACCGAUGUUCUGUGAUACAUUUUCUACGAGUCGAGUUGUUUGGGAAUGCAGCUCUAAAUGGGUGGUAAAUUCCAUCUAAAGCUAAAUAUUGGUGAGAGACCGAUAGCGAACAAGUACCGUGAGGGAAAGAUGAAAGCACUUUGGAAAGAGAGUUAAACAGUACGUGAAAUUGUUGAAAGGGAAA